UGGGGAAUAUUGGACAAUGGGCGCAAGCCUGAUCCAGCCAUGCCGCGUGAGUGAUGAAGGCCCUAGGGUUGUAAAGCUCUUUCACCGGUGAAGAUAAUGACGGUAACCGGAGAAGAAGCCCCGGCUAACUUCGUGCCAGCAGCCGCGGUAAUACGAAGGGGGCUAGCGUUGUUCGGAUUUACUGGGCGUAAAGCGCACGUAGGCGGACUUUUAAGUCAGGGGUGAAAUCCCGGGGCUCAACCCCGGAACUGCCUUUGAUACUGGAAGUCUUGAGUAUGGUAGAGGUGAGUGGAAUUCCGAGUGUAGAGGUGAAAUUCGUAGAUAUUCGGAGGAACGCCAGGGGCGAAGGCGGCUCACUGGACCAUUACUGACGCUGAGGUGCGAAAGCGUGGGGAGCAAACAGG
rnacentral:rRNA from 1 species